rnacentral:rRNA from 1 species
GACGAACGCUGGCGGCGUGCUUAACACAUGCAAGUCGAACGGAGAGGCCCUGCAUCGGUGGGUCGCCCGAGUGGCGAACGGGUGAGUAACCAGAGGGUAACGUGCCGUGUACGCAAGGAAAACCUCAGAAAACUGUGGCUAAUAGCGGCUGGGAGCUCCUGCUGCUAGGAGGGGGACGGAACGUUUCGGCGGUUGGGGAUGUACUCGCGUCUGAUCAGCUUGUUGGUGUGGUAGUGGCUUACCAAGGCUUUGACGGGUAGCCGGCCUGAGAGGGUGACCGGCCACAUUGGGACUGAGAUACGGCCCAGACUCCUACGGGAGGCAGCAGUGGGGAAUAUUGCACAAUGGGCGGAAGCCUGCUGCAGCAACGCCGCGUGCGGGAUGACGGCCUUCGAGUUGUAAACCGCUUUCGCCUGUGACGAAGCGUGAGUGACGGUAAUGGGUAAAGAAGCACCGGCUAACUACGUG